UACAGAGACCUCAAGCGUUAUCCGGAUUUAUUGGGCGUAAAGAGCAUGUAGGCGGAUAUAUUAGUCAGAUGUCAAAUCUUCGAGCUCAACUCGAAAACUGCAUUUGAAACGGUAUAUCUUGAGAGAGUGAGAGACUAAUGGAACAUAUGGUGUAGCAGUGAAAUGCGUUGAUAUCAUAUGGAACACCAAAGGCGAAGGCAUUUAGUUGGCACUCUUCUGACGCUGAGAUGCGAAAGCGUGGGUAGCGAAUGGG
rnacentral:rRNA from 1 species